GGUGAUUCUCUGGUAACAACCCUGGAAUCGGGCUCCUUCCUCUCUGGUUCUGGGUGCGGCACCCAAGAACCACA
rfam:Myotis lucifugus cont2.53756, whole genome shotgun sequence.